CGGGCCCGCACAAGCAGCGGAGCGUGUGGUUAAUUCGAUGCUACACGAAGAACCUUACCAGGGUUUGACAUGCAAGUGGUAGGAAACUGAAAAGGGACGACCCUUCGGGAGCUUGCACAGGUGCUGCAUGGCUGUCGUCAGCUCGUGUCGUGAGAUGUUCGGUUAAGUCCGCUAACGAGCGCAACCCUCACUGUGUGUUACAUGUGUCACACGGGACUGCCGGUUUAAGCCGGAGGAAGUGGGGAUGACGUCAAGUCAGCAUGGCCUUUAUAUCCUGGGCUACACACACGCUACAAUGGUCGGUACAAUAGGUUGCCAAACCGCAAGGGUGGAGCCAAUCCCUAAAGCCGGCCUCAGUUCAGAUUGUAGGCUGCAACUCGCCUGCAUGAAGAUGGAGUUGCUAGUAACCGCAGGUCAGCAAUACUGCGGUGAAUACGUUCCCGGGUCUU
rnacentral:rRNA from 1 species